CACGUAGGGGACGAGCGUUGUCCGGAUUUACUGGGCGUAAAGAGCGCGCAGGCGGUCGUUCAAGUCGAGUGUGAAAGCCCCCGGCUCAACUGGGGAGGGUCAUUCGAUACUGAUCGACUCGAAGGCAGGAGAGGGAAGUGGAAUUCCCGGUGUAGUGGUGAAAUGCGUAGAUAUCGGGAGGAACACCAGUGGCGAAGGCGACUUCCUGGCCUGUUCUUGACGCUGAGGCGCGAAAGCUAGGGGAGCAAACGGG
rnacentral:rRNA from 1 species